GGGGGCCCGCACAAGCGGUGGAGCAUGUGGUUUAAUUCGAGCAACGCGAAGAACCUUACCGGCCUUGACAUGCGAGAACUUUCCAGAGAUGGAUUGGUGCCUUCGGGAACUCAACACAGGUGCUGCAUGGCUGUCGUCAGCUCGUGUCGUGAGAUGUUGGGUUAAGUCCCGCAACGAGCGCAACCCUUUCCUUAUUUGCCAGCAGGUUAAUGGUGGGAACUCUAAGGAGACUGCCGGUGACAAACCGGAGGAAGG
rnacentral:rRNA from 1 species